rnacentral:siRNA from 1 species
AGUGGUUUCUUUGGCCUUUGUAGC